rnacentral:rRNA from 1 species
AGGAUGAACGCUGGCGGCGUGCCUAACACAUGCAAGUCGAACGUCCUGUCUCGCAAGAGGCAGGGAGUGGCGGACGGGUGAGUACCACGUGGGUGAUCUACCGUGAGGUGAGGAAUACCGGCGAGAAAUCGCCGACAAGACCGCAUAGCCUCGGUGCAAGCCGAGGAAAGCUUUCUCGAGAGAGGGAGCGCCACACGAGGAGCCUGCGCCCGAUUAGCUAGCUGGUGGAGUAACGGUUCACCAGGGCGACGAUCGGUAGCUGGUCUGAGAGGAUGAUCAGCCACACUGGGAUUGAGAACGGCCCAGACUCCUACGGGGGGCAGCAGUGAGGAAUCUUCGUCAAUGGGCGCAAGCCUGAACGAGCGACGCCGCGUGGGGACGACGCAUUUCGGUGUGUAAACCCCUUUUCCGAGGAAGAGAAGGGACGGUACUCGGAGAAUAAGCAUCGGCUAACUACGUGCCAGCAGCGC